rnacentral:lncRNA from 1 species
CUUCUGCUUCUGUGUGUUGGGACUUGCAUCCUCCGCAAGGAGGCUGUUUGUCCUUCCUUCUCCCCUUUCUCCUCCCUGCCUUUCCCGCCUCCCUCCCCUCCUUCCUCCCUGCCUUCCUUCCUUUCUGUCUUCCUUUCCCCUCCCUCCCUUCGUUCCACAAACACGUAGGCAGAACUAGGCACUGGGCGCACGGUGAGGUGGAAGGUGGGCCUCGUCCCUGCCGUCACGAAGCUGAGAGUCGAGCCCAGUGGUUCUCCUUCCUGGUGGAAAGUACUGACGAUGUCUAAGCCACACCCCGGAGCAGCUGAAUCGGAAUGGGAUCAAAGGGAAAGCAUGAAGGCACUGAGCAAGGGCCGGCCUGCCCACACUUACAAACACACUGCAGGCGGCACGAUCUCUGGAGGGACAGCAGCCAUCUUGAGACCAUGAAGAUGUACGAUAAAGAUGAAAGAAAAGAACAAUAGAAGAAGCACAUUUGUGACUUUGUGACAUUCAGACUUCAACUGCUCACCUUCAGACUUCUUAUCCAUUU